AUAAAAACGAAUGAAAACAUCCAUAUAAUCCUGAUAAUAAGGUUCGGGAGUUUCUACUAGGAAACCUUAAAUUUCCUUUCUAUGGGUGAAUCUUGAAACUUU
rnacentral:ncRNA from 2 species